rnacentral:rRNA from 1 species
UACGUAGGGGGCUAGCGUUGUCCGGAAUCAUUGGGCGUAAAGCGCGCGUAGGCGGCCCGGUAAGUCCGUUGUGAAAGUCAAAGGCUCAACCUUUGAAAGCCGAUGGAUACUGCCGGGCUGGAGUCCGGAAGAGGCGAGUGGAAUUCCUGGUGUAGCGGUGGAAUGCGCAGAUAUCAGGAGGAACACCAAUAGCGAAGGCAGCCUCGCUGGGACGGUACUGACGCUGAGGCGCGAAAGCGUGGGGAGCGAACAGG